AGUUUCAGGGCAGCUAGCUACAG
rnacentral:miRNA from 1 species